AUUGAACGCUGGCGGCAUGCCUUACACAUGCAAGUCGAACGGCAGCACGGACUUCGGUCUGGUGGCGAGUGGCGAACGGGUGAGUAAUGUAUCGGAACGUACCCUUCAGUGGGGGAUAACUAUCCGAAAGGAUAGCUAAUACCGCAUAUUCUCUGAGGAGGAAAGCGGGGGAUCGCAAGACCUCGCGCUGCUGGAUCGGCUGAUAUCAGAUUGGCUAGUGGGUGGGGUAAAGGCCUACCAAGGCGACGAUCUGUAGCGGGUCUGAGAGGAUGAUCCGCCACACUGGGACUGAGACACGGCCCAGACUCCUACGGGAGGCAGCAGUGGGGAAUUUUGGACAAUGGGGGCAACCCUGAUCCAGCCAUGCCGCGUGAGUGAAGAAGGCCUUCGGGUUGUAAAGCUCUUUCGGCCGGGAAGAAAUCGCAUGAGUUAAUACCUUGCGUGGAUGACGGUACCGGAAUAAGAAGCACCGGCUAACUACGUGCCAGCAGCCGCGGUAA
rnacentral:rRNA from 1 species